AGUGGGAGGAAGUGUCACAGCUCUUUUAUUUCUGCCACCCACAGCUUGGUGAGUAGGAGCAUUACAGCUCUUUUGCUCCCACAGUUCAGCAAAUUCUGAGUUCCUGUCCCAUGACCAAGAGGAAUGAGGAACAUGGACACCGGAGAAUGAGUAAGGCAGAGUAGAAUUUUAUUCAUCAGCGAGAGGGGACCUGAAAGCAGGUCGCCAUCUGUGAGGCAUUGGUUACAUGAAAACCGUGUGACAACCUUGGAAGUCUGAAAGAGCAGGAGAGAGGCUAAGCACACACAUAUUGUGAUUUUAAGAGUCUCAAGGUGAGAAGAAACAUCAGAAGCAGUUGAGAGACCAGGACGUGGGUCCUCAAAGGAUGAACAGAAGUUCUUUUGGAUAACAUUUUAAAAUGUUUCCUCCAGAGUUAUCUGCCUCAUUAACAAUGGUUUGAGUCUCAAGAGUCUCUCUUCGAUUUUACAAACAUGAUUUGUUGCUCUGCUAUAAAUGCAUGCUGCUCUAGUCCUUCAAUAAAC
rnacentral:lncRNA from 1 species